CAAGUCAGGUAGGUUUGAAAAGAAAAGAGGAAGUUCUUCCCUCGAGCUCGUGUUGGUUUCUCCAGACCAGAAGAACUUCAAGAUCUUCCCCAGAAACACUUUAAGAGAAUGCAGGAAAACUGCAUCAGAAUGGACUAAAUCUGGCCCAGCAGACUUAGGACAUUACCAGGACACACCGGUGUGUUUCACAACAGCUUAACUACAGCAGAAAAACUCAUGGAGGAGAAAGAACAGGAGCUGAGAGAAGCCGCCGGGCGAGGUGAGGAGGACAGAGUUAAACAGCUCCUGGCCGAGGGAGUCAAUGUCAAUGCUGCCGACAGCAGCGAAUGGACUGCUCUCCACAAAGCAUCUAUGAACGGCCACACAGGAACUGUACAGGCUUUACUCACAGCUGGAGCAACAAUCGAU